rnacentral:lncRNA from 1 species
UAGGAAGGAAUUUAGAAAAACAAAUUGAGAAACAAUUGUAUGUUACAACAAGAUAGGCUAGAAGUCAAUGUAAUCUCAUUGCAAAAAUAGUUACAAAGAAAGAAAUGUUACCCAAUUCAUAAUAAACUAGGUAUAGUUUUAUCCUAAAACAAUAUCAUAAACUUCCUAAAGAUUACUUCCAUCAGAUGAUUGUCUUGUUCGCAAAGGAGACUCUGACUCAUUUGCAUAACGAGCUUGCUGAAAUAAUAUAAAACAUAUUAAUAAAAUAAAAUCAAUUACAUGUGCUCACAUUUUGAAAAUAAUAUAUAAAAAAUCAAUCAAAUAGAAUAAACAUGUUCUAUCAAUCAAAUAGAAUAAACAUAUUCUGUCAAAUAGAAUAAACAAUAGAAUACAAGUUAAAGUAGUGACAAUCUCUGGGCCCAAUGUUUGUUAAUAUUAGAACUGCAAUCAGACCAAACCCAUAAAAAAGGGGUUUCCAAAAAGAACAUAUACAUGACCUAUCCUUGUGUUGUGUCCCAUAUACGUUUAUCAGUAUUGGUGUUCUGUCCCACGACUUGCAGAAACCAUGGUCAGACAGUGUUUGUGAUGAACAAUACACUAAUAGAAUCAUUUCAGACUUUUAAUCAAGUUUGGAAUAUCUAUAUGCAUAUUAAACUACUGCAGUUACUACUUUACACCAUAUAUAAAAUGCAAUGGACCAGUACUUCUCACACUAUGCAUAUAAAUCUUACUGCAACAAUCAAUAAAGCUAACUACAACACAGAUACAGACAACAACAACCUAAUUCUCACACUAUGCAUAUAAAUCUUACUGCAACUAGGGGUGGGCAAACUGCAAUAUCUAUACUGUAUUAUAUCCAAAUUAUAAUUAACUAUAAAAUAAUUUAAAGAAACUGAAUUGAACUAAAAAUUAGUUCAGAGAAACUGAUCUGAACUUAAUUUUAGUGCAGUUCAUGCAGUACAAUUCAGUAAACUGCUUAAGAUCAAAGCCACAUUUUUCAUCACACGCUGGACCGUCCUCCUCUGGAUCCUCUCCUGUUCCCCUGUCACGCGGUCUCCCAGCACCUCCCCUUCUCCGACCACCUCCUCCUCCCCCGCCGCGCCCGCCUCUUCUCCGCCCACUCCCUCGCUGACGUCCAGUUUUUCCUCGACUACUCUCUCUUCGGCGACGGCCUCCCGCCCUCACCCUCUCCCCCCGCCGGCAACUCCAUCGACUCCUUCUGGAACUCAGGUGCGUCCUCCUCCGGUUCCCGCUCCACGGUGUCGUUUUGCGUUUUGCGUUUUGUUCCCCCUUUUCUCCUUCGUUCUUCCACUGCUCCUAGGCCAAGGUUUUUCAAUCUCUUUUGAAAGGGAAAUGGAAAAGCGUAUUCUCUUUCCAACGAGAAGCGUAGGAUGGUGGAAGAGGCUUCAACAGUGCGGUGACGGUAGAGUGUGGCGACGACAGAGUGCGACGACAGCAGAGUGCGGUGACAACAGAGUGUGGCAACGGCAAAGUGUGGCAAAGCCUUCCGCGGCGAGUCUUCGACAAUAGUGCGACAGUCUUCAACGGAGAUAGGAAAUAGAAAAACCGAACUCUAAUUGAGAAAAAUAGAAAAAUUGAUCCACAGUUAACUGAACUCAAAAUAAAAAAAAGUUCAGUAACUUUAAACUGAACUAUUAAUCAGUAUAAAUAGUUUUAAGUAAAAGUAGUUUAAGUUUUUUAAGUUUAAAAAAGUACAGAUAAACUGUAGUUUAAGUUUUUAACUUAACUGUGCCCAGCCCUAACUGCAACCAUCGUACUUAGAACUUAUCAACAUCUGUAAACUGAUUUCCUAUAUUCAAUUGCAUGUGCUCACAGUAAACAGGUAUACAUUUCUAUCAAACUAAUAGAAAUAAUAUUUUGUACGUUACUGUUAGGGAUCAAUAACAGUUGUCAAUAGACUAAGCUUAACCACACAAAGAAAUUAAUAAUCUAGCUAUGAAUGAUUUAUGAUAUCAAUUGGAAUCUUUAGGAAGUACGACAACUUCCUAAAGACAUUAAUAAUCUAGCUAUGAAUGAUCAGUAAGAGCGAUAACUAACUACUCCGGUUAUGUUUUUAGAUAUCAUGUAUCCAUCUCGUAUUCAUGACUUCCUAUUUAAUCAUAACUUCAUAUUUAGUUAUCUCUCACACGUCUCGUAGACUCAUGCUUAGAAUUAAUUCUUCUUUAUUUAAAUGUUAAAUGGCUUUCUGGUAGUAAACUAAGGAAAAAAUGUGAAACAAAACAGUGUAUUCAAAUUAUAAUCAGACUCUCCUUGGCCACAACCAAAUGAAUUUUGAAAUAAAAAAUGUAGAAAAUUACAUCAGACUCUCCAUGGUCCAACAUAAGUUUUGGACUCUUUUUUCCAUCUUUUAAACCAUUUUUGGCAAUGCAGCAGUGGUGUUCCAAAACUACAACUUAUACGCACGCAAACCAAACGAAAUUCAGAAGAACUUGUUCACUGCGCAAGGCAGAGAGGAUACUAACAAAAAUCACCUAUUGGGUAAAAUACUAAAAUAGAAUCAAUCUAAACUUGCAAAAACUAGCAUCACAAUAAUUGACAAAUGCCAAAUCCAGAUUCAGAAUUAAACUCGGUAACCAAAGAUGUAAGUACCUAAACUACACUAACACAUAUCUGUCAAUGAUCUAAUAACUGAAAAUUAACUUUGUAAAAUUUACAAGUUCAUCUCAUGCAAUCAGAUUCAAGAAAAUCAAUUCUGAAAUAACAAUCGCACAUAUGAAUGAUAAUCUAUGCCAUCCAGCCAAAUACAUUGCACAUAUGAAUGAGUUAGGAUCUUAUUACCUUUCCAAAUGAGAGAACGAGCUAAUAAAGAGUCACAAUUCAGAUUGUAAUACUUAAAAGAGAAACCUGCAACAUCAAUUAAGUAGUGUUUUGUUAUGGCAAUAAAAAUCAUACUUUUGCGCAACAAAAAUUCGCUGAUAAAUGUAUAUUAUUACUAUGUCAUCAUUACUAUUUGCAUCUUGAUUUUGAAAAGUCUACAAGUCUAAAAGAAACUAAAGAGAAAGAUCCAACAUUUGGGCCAUCAUCAUUGAAUUCCAUCGUCUUUAUAUUACCUGUCCUUGACGCAUGUGUUUCCAAUCCAAUUAUCCUCACCUAUGCGAACAUCACUAUCAAUUUUUUCAUACAGUGCUUAUGUAUCAAUAGGACUCGGUCUGAAUGUGAUUAAGGAGUUCUAUGUUUAAAUAAUACUUUUGUUUUUCAGUAAACAAAUAUUAUUAAAAUGAAAACAAAAAAAUAAAAUAAAAAUGAUAGGAGGACAAGAUACACCCAGGCAACAAAGACGAAAAUGAAAAGACUUGAGAUACAGAGGUCAUUACCACAUUCAAUCUGGAUAAAGAGAAUUAAUAAUAUUUUUAAUAAAACUAGUAUAAUUCUUUAAUGAACUUGACGUAUCCAGUUGAAAGAUUGGAUGAAAUAGAGAAAACAGUUUAUGCAGUAGCAGUACAACAUUAUCAUAACAAUUUGUGAUGCUUGAUAAUUUUGUUGACUUUAAUAAUCACUACAUCAAAAUUCAUACCUACCAUCACUUCUGAUUGAUUACCAGAGUAAGAGUUUUUACAUUGACAGUGCUUAGAAAUUAAACUAAUGAAACUAAAAAGACAAUAUACUUGCUAAUUAAUUGAUAAAAUAUUAAUAUACCACUCACCUUCAUUCAGUGUGUGAUACAACCUAAGAACAUCUACACCAGAAUAGAAAGCUCUGCCACAACCCUUCAAAGCAUUCAAUAUAGAAACUCAAACUCAACAGAAUACCAAUUCCAUAAACAUAGUAAAAAGAAAAUUAUUAUGAAUUACAAUAUAAUUAUGUCAUUUAGUUCAAUGGUAACUUAGUGGCGUGAAAANAACAGUGAUACCUUCAUCAAAACAAAUCCAAUGUNAGAGUAAUCUAAGGNCCAAAUAAAUAAUGAGGUGUUUUAAAAUUGUAACUUGAAAAGGCAAGCUAGCUCUCAACCACUGUGAGAUCUCAUUUGAAAGAGGUUUUAAAAUUGUAACCUGGAAGAGGAAACCUAGGUUUAAUGACGGUAAACCCUAGCGAUGAUGAGCGAUGACGCACAAUGGAGGACUUCAUGGCGACUGCAACUGACAACGCAACGGUGAGCGCAACGACGACCAUAGCAGCAACCACAACGACGACUGCAACUGAGGACUCCAUGGCGACUGCAACAGACGACGCAGCGGCGAGGACAACGACGACCGUAGUGGCGAGCAAUGGCGACCGCAGCGGUGAGGCAAUUGUAAGCGCAGCAGAGACGGUACGACGACCGCAACGACGAAGACGUUGAACCGUAGAUCGACGCUACCUAACGAGACCUAAAAAUGAUGAUGAUUUGAGUACGAACUGAGUUGUUUGCAGGGGAAAAACGAAAACCUUGCACGAGUUUAGGGAAAGCAAAGAAAAUGUGAGGGUUUGGAAAAUUUUAGGGAAAAGAAAUGCAACUUUCGAUUUUGAAAAGGGGGAAAGUAUGAGAGGGAAGAUAGAUUUGGAAAAUUUUGGAUACAGAGGGAAGUUAGAAACUGAAAAAUUGUAUUUUAAAUUUUAGAUGACAUAAACCUCCUCCAAAUAAUAUUAAAACCCCCCACAAUCAGGACUUAAUUAAAUCCUUUUAAUUAUUUUAAAUAAUUUUAAUUUGCGGAGGGUUUUUAUAACCCCCACAAUAUAACCUCUGCCUAAUAAUAUUUUAUUUGUAGUGAUGAAAGAGUUUUCCAUGGUAGAGAGAGCUCAGGGGGGAAUUUUUUCUAUUUCUAUUAGUGCAUGUUCUUUGAUAUUUAUCUUAGGUUACCCUUCACCGCUUUCCAAAUGAACAUUUUGAGAACCUUAAAUGUAGUCCCUACGCAGCUUCAUCCGAAUAGUUGGAGUUACAUUCAGGCGUUCGCCGUCAUGUGUCAAACCUUGGCUAUCAGACCGACGGUCGCUUUAUUUCUUUACUUCUUUAGGACACGUCCUAAUGCCAAGAGGGGUUGGAUGUCCUUGAGUUCCGAACCUAGGAACGCAAUUUUAAAACUGUUCACGAGUCUUUCAAAGACUUCAAAAAUCAAUUUUUUAAAGUUUCUAUCACCGAGUUGGGCCGUCCUUUCUUCUUUCAUGAGGAUGAUAGCCCUAGGUUCCCCUUAUAUUGGACCCAAGAACCCCGUACGAUGACAUCUUGGCCCAAGGAAAAGAUGACUGACGCUGAUUGGAGGCCUUAGGUGUAUUGGUUGAGUUACCCCGCCCGUUUUCCUCUCGAAAGAUAAUCAACUGUCUUGAGCAUGAUGAUGUCAAUUCGAGGGUGUUUGGUAUGUUCUUUUAUUGGUUGAUAGCAUAGUAUAAGCCAAAGCAAUCAGUAAAAGAACAUACCAAACACCCUCGAAUUGACAUCAUCAUGCUCAAGACAGUUGAAUAUCUUCCGAGAGGAAAACGGGCGGGGUAACUCAACCAAUAAGGAGCGUCGGUCAUCUUUUCCUUGGGCCAAGAUGUCAUCAUACGGGGUUCUUGGAUCCAAUAUAAGGGGAACCUAGGGCUACCAUCCUCAUGAAAGAAGAAAGGACGGCCUAACUCGGUGAUAGAAACUUUAAAAAAUUGAUUUUUGAAGUUUUUGAAAGACUCGGUGAAUAGUUUUAAAAUUGCGUUCCUAGGUUCGAAACUCAAGGACACCCAACCCCUCUUGGAGUUAGGACGUGUCCUAAAGAAGUAAAGAAAUAAAGCGACCGUCGGUCUGAUAGCCAAGGUCUGACACAUGACGGCGAACGCCUGAAUGUAACCCCAAUUGUUCGGAUGAAGCUGCGUAGGGGCUACAUUCAGGGUUCUCAAACCGUCCAUUUGGAAAGCGGUGAAGGGUAACCUAAGAUACAUAUCAAAGAACAGGCACGAAUAGAAAUAGAAAAAACCCCCCGGAGUUCUCUCUACCGUGAAAAACUCUUUCAUCUUCCCUACAAACAAUCAAUUUCACAGCAGAACCAUAACCUAGGGUUCUGAGGACACAUCUAUUGUUCGCCCAAUCUAAUAAAACGACUUUACUAAUGAAAACACUAGGGUAUUCACUUACGUCGUGUGAAGCCCACUCAUAAUCAACAAAGGAAGAAGAAAAAAGGUUCUCGAAACGACGACACCACCAUAAACGAAGACCCUCUUUCCAUUAAGCACCGAAGAAAUAACCUUGGCGACCUCAGCUUGAGAACUCCCUGAUGCACCAGUCGGGUCCCCGCGCCUUCUUUCCUCAGCAAGUGACGAAGGACAAUUUAAAUUAGCAAGGGAAGCCAUGGUUACCUGAAAGAAAAGGGGUACUUGGAAAUGCUUGCAAAGGUUGAGAGGAGUUCAAAAGGCUCUCGGCGAGUGAAGGCACAAAAAUGACGGUUAGGGUAACUAGAGUCUUUUCAAAAAGCCCAUUGCAUUAAUGGGAAAUACUAACAUAAUUGCUAUGAAAUUUGCAACGUUAGAUAAGGAAGAUCUAACGGUUCCGUUCUCGCGACUCUACCACUACCCCAAAGGCGGGAAAAGCUAAAUUAUUACUUGGAAAUGAAACGACAUCACAAAACGGUGCGUAGAAAGGACACCUCAUUAUCAGAACCACUUCAAAGUCCUACAGCUAACCUAACAAAGGAGGCGAACGGUUAACUCGGACUUGGGGGGAUGAUGUAUGGUAUGAUAUUACGACCGAACGAUUAUCUAGUAAAACCGAGCGGUCCAGUCAAAGUCAAUACGAAAUAAAAUAGGGCAGGAAAAGUCACGAAUGGGCCCGUGAUUGUCUAAAAAGGCCAAAAGCCCAAAUAACGGUAAAAUGAUUCGGGAAUAUCUAAUAUGGAGAAUAUACAAACAUAUUUAAGACCGGAUACACAGGUAAAGAUAGGUAGGUAAGUUCAGUUUUGUUCAUUUGGUUAUUUUUAUACUAAUUCUGUUUAUAUUUUAUUGAGCUUAUGAUAAUCUAUAAAUAAAGAGCCAGGGGCACAAGGCAGGUACGUUCUAAUCAUACUUCCAAUUCACGUUCUAUUUAUUCAAACAUUAGCCCUACUCUCUACUUUCAUAUACUAAGAAUAAUCAAAUUAAGAAUCGAGGUUCUUCUACUACACGCCUACCUUGGGCGUCCGAGUGCCAUUGCAGAUACCUCCCCCCUCCAAUCAAAGAUCGAAGUCUACUGAACGGUCAAGGCUAAAGGAAAACGAGCAGUUGAGAUUUAGGAAAAGCGAGCAAUUCAAUCAAUCAAAGCGUGAGAAAGCUAGAAAGUCGUGUCCACCAGGUCAGUCUCUUUCUAUCUAUUGUUGAAUUUUAUUUCCAACAUCAUCUAGCUCACAUCUUAUCAAUAAUUUUUAUAUGGCAAGGCAACAAUAUAAGCCAAGCAACAACAUUGUCAUACAAGAAUCAUUUUACAGAUCAAACAUUGUAAGUAUUCACACAUAGAUUAGCUCCCCUACAUACAAUCUCUUUUAACACAGUACAUAUAUAAUAGAUCAAACAUUACCAGGCAUUCAUUCCAUCCAGACAUAGAUUAGCUCCCCUACACACAAUCCUUUUUAACAUACAUUCAAGUAUAUCAUCAACUCAUACAAACAAUUCUUUUUAACAUAUAAUCACGCAUAUCAUUCCUACAACAGAGCAUGUCCCAUAUACUUCCAGUUUUAGAUUAUUGCAAACUAUCACUACAACCCAAUAACAUCACCAAAACACACAGUAUUUCAGAUAUUAUUAUAUUAAACAAGCCAACAGUUAACACAACAAUUCAGAUAUUAACAAGCCAAUAUUGGUUUAGCUCCCCAUACCUAAAUUUUGAUUCCUCUUCACAAGUAACACAUACUACCACCGAACCCCGUCACUCUCUCAGCCCUCUCUUUCACUCUUAGGUUUCUCAACAUGCUUGAUUGGAUGUCUCUAUUCUUCCUUCUUCCGCCCCUUUUUCAGGUUUCAUUUAAAGCCCCAAUUUGGAUCCUCGAAACACUAAAAUCAUGAUCAGCAUCCUCUGAUUCCAUCUUCCCCUUUUUAAUACUCUUAUUUUGUUUCUCUUUGAAUCAUUGAAUGCUUCCUCAGGCUGUUAUGCUCCUCCUGACCUUAGGAUUUACAAAACCAAAAAGAAAAUAGAAGAAAGAGAAGAGAGAAGUAGUAUCGGAAGAGACGUGAAAGUGCAGAGUGGACGGAAGAUGGAAAACAAGUGAUGAAGGCGCCACGAAAUAAAUUAGGGCAGGCUGGGAAAUAUUAAUACUUACCGAUGGUUUGAUAAAAUAACUGCCGGAAAUAUCUUCAAAAAAUUAAAAAAUAAAAUAUAUUUUAGUUGCCUUUUGACUUGAAACCGCCGAAAAAUUUAAAGAAAAAUAAUAAUAAAAAA